rnacentral:rRNA from 1 species
GAGUUUGAUCAUGGCUCAGGAUGUAACGCUAGCGGCAGGCCUAAUACAUGCAAGUCGAGGGGCAGCACGAGUACUUGUACUUGGUGGCGACCGGCGCACGGGUGCGUAACGCGUAUACAACUUACCCAGCACAAGGGGAUAGCCCGGGGAAACCCGGAUUAAUACCCUAUGGUAUCACAGAUUGGCAUCAUGAAGUGAUUAAAGAUUUAUCGGUGUUGGAUGGGUAUGCGUCUGAUUAGUUAGUUGGUGAGGUAACGGCUCACCAAGACGAUGAUCAGUAGGGGUUCUGAGAGGAUGAUCCCCCACACUGGCACUGAGAUACGGGCCAGACUCCUACGGGAGGCAGCAGUAGGAAUAUUGGUCAAUGGGCGAGAGCCUGAACCAGCCUGCCGCGUGCAGAAGGACAGCCUUCUGGGUUGUAACUGGUUUUAAUUGGGAAGAAAAAGGCUUGCAGACAAUUGCCGUACCAUAUGAAUAGCCCGCUAAUCCUGCCACACCGGUAUACGAGGUGCACCUGUCCGAUUAUGGGUUAAGGUCCU